ACCACGGUACUAAGCAAAUCAGUUCCUAAGUCAUGAAAAGAAGGAUGCAUCCCAGAGACCUCUCUUUAGGAUUAGAAUGCCAGUGGAAAAGAUGAGCAGUUAAAUUAAGAAAAAUAUUUUUAAAAUAAAACGAAGCAACACUUACACUGCUGUAUGCCCCACAUACACAUAAAUAAAAAUAAACUUUUUAAAUUAAAGUAAAAGUAAGGGGCCUGAGAGAUAGCUCCGUGGUCAAGAGUACUUAUUCCACUUGCAGGAGGCCCAAACUGCAGGAGUUCCCAGCAUACAUGUUGGGCUGGGCAGCACACAGCUGUCUGUAACUUCCACUUCAGAGCACACAGCUCUCUUUUCUGGCAUCCCUGGGCAGCUGCACACAUGCAGUCUCCUCAGGAAUACAUUAAAAACAACGCCUUUAAAAAUGCUUUAAGAUAAAAACUUAGAGGGUUAGAGUUGUAUCUUUAAAAAAAGGUCCUUACCGUACCCUAAGUGGCAGCUCCUGUCAGGAUGGGAGACCAUUCCUCAAUGUGUUCCACGUGAGAACUGAGUUGUGAGGCUAUGACCUCUGCCUAGGAGAAACUCAGUUCCCAGGAAAUGAUGGAGACGCCCUAAUAUUACAGGUCUCAGGCCUACAGCUGCUCACUCACCUUCCCCGCUUGUCUCCACCCUCUGUGUUCCACACAUUUUCUGCUGGCCUCCUUCUGGUCUGUCUAUUCAUUGACCAGUUUCUACUGAGCACCUAGGAUGCGCUCAGAGCCAGACAUAGACAUGGCAGAGGCACACUCCUGGAGAGACCUGGGAGCGAAGAGGUCCUGUAGUACUAUCAUAUCACAGUAGAUUACACAUACAGAAAGACACGUGUGUAGGGCAUUGACAGGAAGCUCCUGCUGGACUUUGAAUACUUUCUCUUGUCCGCUUCUGCUGGGAUUUGGUUGCUGUCAUGAUGGCACUGAGAGGUGAGGCUCUUCAAAGUCAACAAUGCAGUUCUCGUGGGACUAGAUGAGCUACCUCAAGAGAGGGUUCCACGUAGAGACAGCCUCCUAUUUCACCCUACAACACGCACCCGCAUGUCAUCCACUUUCUGCCAAGGGUUGAAGCACAAAGUGUUUACCUGGACCAUGCUUUUGGCUUUCUAAGCUUCUAGAACCCCGAACCAAUUAAUCCCUAUUCUCUACAAGUUACCCAGUCAAGAGAUGGCUCAGUGCCUCAGAGCCCUGACUGCCUUCCAAAGGACUUGGGUUCAAUUCCCAGCACCUAGAUGGUAGCUCACACCCAUUGGAAUCUCCAGUCCUAGGGAAUCUGAUACCCUCUUCCAGCAUCCAAGGACAUUGCACGCACGUAGUGUACUGGCAUACGUGCGAGCAAAACACAGAGAGAAAAAUAUUGUUACUGGAAUUGCCUAGUCUCAGGUGUUUGGUUAUAGCAAACAGACUGAAACCAUUCCUACUUCUUGAGGGAGGGAACUGAAGAGUUAGAGGGCCACAGGCCCAGACAUAUUAACAGUGUUUUACCAGGAUUACCGGGGAGACAGGAAUAAAAAGAAAAGGAGACCACACCAGGAGCAGAGUGAUCUAGGAUCCAUUUUUUCCACACCAUUACACAGAAAAUCAAGCUCUAUAGCCUUGGGGCCACAAGCAGGUGGAGGUGUGCCAGGAGAACCCUAAGAUUCUCUGUUCAAGAUUCCUCUCCCAGGCACAUACACACCUGUAUAAUCAACCCCCAACUCUUGAUGAUGAGCAAGGAGUUUGAAUAUGAUGCAAUUCCAUGGCCUAUCUUGGCGUAUAUGUAGAAGAGAUUUUGUGGAUGUAAUUAAGACCCCUAAUCAGCCGACUUGGAGUUAAUUAAGGUAAGGACUUUCCUGGGUGGUCCUGACCUAAUCAUGAAAACAAUUUAACCGGAAGUGGCAGUCCAUAGGGACAAGCAGCUCCAGGGAUGGCCCAAAAGAAAUGACUUGUGCAGAAGGCCCUGAACCAGAAAUGGCAGGUAGCCUGUCAUAGUUGGAAUUAAAUCUGCAGUUGUGACCAGUCGUGACCCAAACCUUGAUGUCCCCCAGUGAGAUCCUCAGCAGAGGCUAGCGUCUCCCUGGGCUCCUGAUCUGCAUCAGACAAAAAGCACCGAGGUUGUUCCAAACUGCAUUUGAGGUCACUAAUUGCAAAGCAAUCAAGCAGCACUGUGCUCGAAGGGGUAGCCGUGCAGAGCGGAAGUGGAUAUAAUCACUAGAGCCCUAGAGAAGCUGGACGACGAGGAACCCUCCCAGCUUCGAGACUCGUAACAACACCACAAAACAGAAGACUCCUGGGAGGUUUCAUAGCUAGUGAAUCACUUUGAUGUUUGCAACUGGAACUAUGCUGUUGUUUUUAACACUGGAAAUCAUCAGAAGUUACAUGAGAUGCACAAGGGAAAUAGCUUUAAAAAGAAAAUCUUCCAUGAUCUUUUUCCAUGAUCUUUUUACAUGAUCUCUAAAGGCCCUGAGUCUUCACUAGUGGGAAAAAACGAAAUAUUUUUAAUAUCAAAUUUUAUGAAAAUUUGAAGUAGACUGAGCAAUAAAAAUGCUGGGCACUCACUCUAUGGGAGAAGGAUAGCACAAUGUCACUGUCGUGUCUACACAUGGACGCAAACUCAGGCCUACAGAUAUGAGUACAGAAGGACAUAUAUGAGCACAGAAGCAUCCAAAAAGACCGCAAAGUGUUACUGCCUCCAAGAAUGAAAAAUCAGCUAAUCCCAAGGUGGUCAGACCGCAGCCUGAACCCUUGAAGCAAGAGCGAUCUUCCCAAGAGAACUCAUAACUAACUGAGAAGUUCUGAAGUUGAACUCAGAGUCACCUCCAGAACCGAGCAUUUGGACAGGGAGGAGCACACUCCAGACCCUGUGAACUGCAAACAAUAACCUGAUGCCGAGUACCUAGAAACUAGGGAAAGGGCAGUGGAGGCAACAAGGGUAAGGAUGGACACCUACUGAGUUCCUCUGGGUAGCAGGACCUUCCCCACACACCAAAGGGAUGUAUGUGAUUACCAGACCUAAGCAAGGUCCACUCUGUUUCCCUUGCUUUAACUUAGAAGAUCGGCAGGAGGAGAUAGGUAGGAGGAAAGAAACUGAAAGCAGAAGGUAAGGAACCUGGCAGGAAGUAACCCUGGAUGCUUUGCACUAAAACAAGCAGAUUCAAUCCCAGGCCUUGGGGAACAGAGACGGGCAGGUCUCUGUCCGUUCAAAGCCAGCCUGGUCUAUGCUGCUAGUUCCAAGCUAACCAGAACUUCACAGCAAGAACCUGUCUUAAAAUGAAAUGUAAUUCCCACCCUACCCCCAGAGGAGGAAGGAGAGAUGCUGCCCCUCACCGUCUCCUGAGAAAGGAGAGGGGCCUUCUGUACUCACAUGGAAGUGGCUUCCAGCUCCGCUCCGAGCCACAGGCAGCAGUGGUGGUCAGUGCAGAACAAGGCAAGAGGACCCUGCUCCCCUAAAGCUAUCUCUAAUCCCCACGAGUCAGUCUUACACUCCCGACUCCCCGUCCUGGUCAGAGGAGCAUGCUCUGGAAAUGAUCCCUGCCUCGCCUGGAGUCCAGGCGACAAGUCUGAGCCCAUUUUGAAGCAAGGGUGAAUGAGGGGAUGGGGUUAGGGGCUAAAAGGGGGCAGGGAAAAUGUUGGGAGCCUGGAAGAUUCUAGCCAUGUUGUGUUGCUACAGCUAAACAACUCUCCAAGGCUGGACAAAGUACAACAAGCAAGGCAAAUGCCUGGGGAAAGUACCAGUGAUGCUAGGGCUCAAUUUCUUAAGAUAAUGUGCUGGCUAGUUUUAUAGCAACUUGACACAAGCUAGAGUCAUAGAAGAGGAGCAAGCCUCGAUUAAGAAAAUGAUUCCAGGGCUGGAGAGAUGGCUCAGCGGUUAAGGGCAUUGCCUGCUCCUCCAAAGGUCCUGAGUUCAAU